rnacentral:lncRNA from 1 species
AUUUCAUAAGUUCUUGAAAACUAUUUAAUUGAUGGAUGGAGUAAACGAGCGUUAUAAUUUAUUAACCGAUAACAAAUUGUUACAUGAAAGUUUGAUAUAUGGCAAAAGUUGUCAAAAUUAUUUAUGUUAUGAUUAUAUUUGUUUUCCUAUUUUUUGUGGCAACCAACGUUGAAGGUAAGUCAUCCAUGUCUUUUUAAAUUAUUGUCUUUAAUUUAUACACACUAUUUUAGCCAAAUUAGAUUAUAUUAUUUUUGUUAAACUUUUUCUAAUUUCAGCUGGGAAAUCUAUAAAAUGUUCUAAAGAUAUAGAUUGUCCCAAAAGUAUGUGUAAAAGUCCGAUGAGAGUAAAGUGUUGGUAUAGUUCCUUCUGCAGAUGUUAUAAUGCUGCCACAUAUAAUCCCUGGUGAUUAUAUAUCAAGUACCAUGUAUGAAUCAUGCUGAUUACAUAUUCAAAUUGUUUUGUGUUCUUGGUUCGUCUCUACUAUCGAUGAUGGCUCGGAUGGUCAGAGAUCUAAUCUUAGUUUCCUUUUUGGAGAUUCAGAUGUGUGGCUUUUCUUCUAUUCUUGGUUCUUAUUUGAGAAUGAUUUUUCUAGAUUUUCCGUUUCCUUGUUUUUGGUUUAUUGUUUUGUUAUGUUUUCUCUCUCUUUUAUUAUUAUACUUCUUGUACUAUAUGAUUAGAUGACUCUUGUUUCUAUAUAUGGGUUUUUUAUUGCACACAAACUACAGCUUUAUUUUUGCCAUUAAAAAAUGUAUCAUACCAAAGAGAAAACCAAAAUAGCCUACUUGAAUAUUGUCCUUAUGGCAUUGUAGUUUUAGAUCAUCAACAUACAUUUUUAUAAAAUAAAUUGAUUAGCAUGUUACCUAAUC